rnacentral:rRNA from 1 species
GAUGAACGCUGGCGGCGUGCCUAAUACAUGCAAGUCGAGCGAACAGACGAGGAGCUUGCUCCUCUGACGUUAGCGGCGGACGGGUGAGUAACACGUGGAUAACCUACCUAUAAGACUGGGAUAACUUCGGGAAACCGGAGCUAAUACCGGAUAAUAUAUUGAACCGCAUGGUUCAAUAGUGAAAGACGGUUUUGCUGUCACUUAUAGAUGGAUCCGCGCCGCAUUAGCUAGUUGGUAAGGUAACGGCUUACCAAGGCGACGAUGCGUAGCCGACCUGAGAGGGUGAUCGGCCACACUGGAACUGAGACACGGUCCAGACUCCUACGGGAGGCAGCAGUAGGGAAUCUUCCGCAAUGGGCGAAAGCCUGACGGAGCAAAGGCGCGUGAGUGAUGAAGGUCUUCGGAUCGUAAAACUCUGUUAUUAGGGAAGAACAAAUGUGUAAGUAACUAUGCACGUCUUGACGGUACCUAAUCAGAAAGCCACGGCUAACUACGUG